AUUGAACGCUGGCGGCAGGCCUAACACAUGCAAGUCGAGCGGAGCGGCUGACGGGUGAGUAAUUCCUAGGAAUCUGCCUGGUAGUGGGGGAUAACGUCCGGAAACGGGCGCUAAUACCGCAUACUAUCAGAUGAGCCUAGGUCUCAUUAGCUAGUUGGUGGGGUAAAGGCCUACCAAGGCGACGAUCCGUAACUGGUCGGAGAGGAUGAUCAGGCAAACGGGAACUGAGAAACGGUCCAGACUCCUACGGGAGGCAGCAGUGGGGAAUAUUGGACAAUGGGCGAAAGCCUGAUCCAGCAAUGCCGCGUGUGUGAAGAAGGUCUUCGGAUUGUAAAGCACUUUAAGUUGGGAGGCGUUACCAAAAGAAUAAGCACCGGCUAACUUCGUGCCAGCAGCCGCGGUAAUUC
rnacentral:rRNA from 1 species